UUAAAUGACUCUCGGCAACGGAUAUCUCGGCUCUUGCAUCGAUGAAGAACGUAGCGAAAUGCGAUACUUGGUGUGAAUUGCAGAAUCCCGUGAACCAUCGAGUCUUUGAACGCAAGUUGCGCCUGAAGCCAUCAGGUUGAAGGCACGUCUGCYUGGGCGUCACGCAU
rnacentral:rRNA from 1 species